rnacentral:lncRNA from 1 species
AUGUCUCUUGAAGUCCAAUUCCAAUUCAUAUUUGUCUCUGAGAUACGACGAGAAGUAAUUGUUCGACGAAGAACUCGCAUUGCUAACAUCGUUAUAAAACGGCGACGGAGCGGCGGAUGACGACGGAGAUGACGCACUAGAACCGGCAGGAGCAGUUAACCCUACCUUCUCCUUGAAGUCCUUAAGCAAUGAUACCCAUUUCAUCGUUAUAGUUACCUCUCAUCCGCCGGAAAAUC